rnacentral:rRNA from 1 species
CCUACGGGUAGCUGCAGUGAGGAAUAUUGGUCAAUGGGCGCGAGCCUGAACCAGCCAAGUAGCGUGAAGGAUGACUGCCCUACGGGUUGUCAACUUCUUUUAUAAAGGAAUAAAGUGAGGCACGUGUGCCUUUUUGUAUGUACUUUAUGAAUAAGGCUCGGCUAACUCCGUGACAGCAGCCGCGGUAAUACGGAGGAUCCGAGCAUUAUCCGGAUUUAUUGGGUUUAAAGGGAGCGUAGAUGGGUUGUUAAGUCAGUUGUGAAAGUUUGCGGCUCAACCGUAAAAUUGCAAUUGAUACUGGCAGCCUUGAGUACAGUUGAGGUAGGCGGAAUUCGUGGUGUAGCGGUGACAUGCUUAGAUAUCACGAAGAACUCCGAUUGCGAAGGCAGCUUAAUAAACUGCCACUGACAUUGAUGCUCGAAAGUGUGGGUAUCAAACAGGAUUAGAUACCCCGGUAGUC